ACUGGGACUGAGACACGGCCCAGACUCCUACGGGAGGCAGCAGUGGGGAAUAUUGCACAAUGGGCGCAAGCCUGAUGCAGCAACGCCGCGUGAGGGAUGACGGCCUUCGGGUUGUAAACCUCUUUUAGCAGGGAAGAAGCGAAAGUGACGGUACCUGCAGAAAAAGCGCCGGCUAACUACGUGCCAGCAGCCGCGGUAAUACGUAGGGCGCAAGCGUUAUCCGGAAUUAUUGGGCGUAAAGAGCUCGUAGGCGGUCUGUCGCGUCUGCUGUGAAAACCCGAGGCUCAACCUCGGGCCUGCAGUGGGUACGGGCAGACUAGAGUGCGGUAGGGGAGAUUGGAAUUCCUGGUGUAGCGGUGGAAUGCGCAGAUAUCAGGAGGAACACCGAUGGCGAAGGCAGAUCUCUGGGCCGUAACUGACGCUGAGGAGCGAAAGGGUGGGGAGCAAACAGGCUUAGAUACCCUGGUAGUCCACCCCGUAAACGUUGGGAACUAGUUGUGGGGUCCAUUCCACGGAUUCCGUGACGCAGCUAACGCAUUAAGUUCCCCGCCUGGGGAGUACGGCCGCAAGGCUAAAACUCAAAGGAAUUGACGGGGACCCGCACAAGCGGCGGAGCAUGCGGAUUAAUUCGAUGCAACGCGAAGAACCUUACCAAGGCUUGACAUAUAGAGGAAACGUCUGGAAACAGUCGCCCCGCAAGGUCUCUAUACAGGUGGUGCAUGGUUGUCGUCAGCUCGUGUCGUGAGAUGUUGGGUUAAGUCCCGCAACGAGCGCAACCCUCGUUCUAUGUUGCCAGCACGUAAUGGUGGGAACUCAUGGGAUACUGCCGGGGUCAACUCGGAGGAAGGUGGGGAUGACGUCAAAUCAUCAUGCCCCUUAUGUCUUGGGCUUCACGCAUGCUACAAUGGCCGGUACAAAGGGCUGCAAUACCGUGAGGUGGAGCGAAUCCCAAAAAGCCGGUCCCAGUUCGGAUUGAGGUCUGCAACUCGACCUCAUGAAGUCGGAGUCGCUAGUAAUCGCAGAUCAGCAACGCUGCGGUGAAUACGUUCCCGGGUCUUGUACACACCGCCCGUCAAGUCAUGAAAGUCGGUAACACCUGAAGCCGGUGGCCCAACCCUUGUGGAGGGAGCCGUCGAAGGUGGGAUCGGUAAUUAGGACUAAGUCGUAACAAGGUAGCCGUACCGGAAGGUGCGGCUG
rnacentral:rRNA from 1 species